CACAUGCAGUCGAACGCUUCAGCAAUGAAGAGUGGCAGACGGGUGAGUAACGCGUGGGAACCUUCCCAGUGGUACGGAAUAGCCCAGGGAAACGUGGGGUAAUACCGUAUAAGCCCUUAGGGGGAAAGAUUUAUCGCCAUUGGAUGGGCCCGCGUCGGAUUAGCUUGUUGGUGAGGUAAAAGCUCACCAAGGCGACGAUCCGUAGCUGGUCUGAGAGGAUGAUCAGCCACACUGGGACUGAGACACGGCCCAGACUCCUACGGGAGGCAGCAGUGGGGAAUAUUGGACAAUGGGCGCAAGCCUGAUCCAGCCAUGCCGCGUGAGUGACGAAGGCCUUAGGGUUGUAAAGCUCUUUUGGCGGGGACGAUAAUGACGGUACCCGCAGAAUAGGCUCCGGCUAACUUCGUGCCAGCAGCCGCGGUAAUACGAAGGGAGCUAGCGUUGUUCGGAAUUACUGGGCGUAAAGCGCACGUAGGCGGACUUGUUAGUCAGGGGUGAAAUCCCGGGGCCCAACCUCGGAACUGCCUUUGAUACUGCAAGUCUGGAGUCCGGAAGAGGUGGGUGGAAUUCCUAGUGUAGAGGUGAAAUUCGUAGAUAUUAGGAAGAACACCGGUGGCGAA
rnacentral:rRNA from 1 species